rnacentral:ncRNA from 1 species
AGGCAAUAACAGGUCUGUGAUGCCCUUAGACGUUCUGGGCCGCACGCGCGCUACACUGACGGAGCCAGCGAGCUUUUCCUUAGCCGAGAGGUUUGGGUAAUCUUGUGAAACUCCGUCGUGCUGGGGAUAGAGCAUUGUAAUUAUUGCUCUUCAACGAGGAAUUCCUAGUAAGCGCAAGUCAUCAGCUUGCGUUGAUUACGUCCCUGCCCUUUGUACACACCGCCCGUCGCUAGUACCGAUUGAAUGGCUUAGUGAGGCUUCAGGAUUUGCUUAGAUCAGGGGCAACUCUCUUUCAGAGCGGAGAAUCUAGUCAAACUUGGUCAUUUAGAGGAACUAAAAGUCGUAACAAGGUUUCCGUAGGUGAACCUGCGGAAGGAUCAUUA